CGCUGAGGUGAGAGUGCGCCGGAGAGAGCAGCUCCCUCUCCACGCCCUGCUCGGCGCCACCAGGUCUCCUGAAUGGAUUUUUGGAUCAGAAAACAUGGCCAUGUUCAUUACCACCCUCUGGUUCACUUUCCUCUACGGACUUCUGACAGCUCAGCGGGAAGAUUUCCUGAACCACAGAACAUCCCCAUCAGAAUGGGUGAGGUACGGCAAGUCAGUCCAACUCUAGUUAAACAUUAAGAGUCUACGCUGCGUCUCAAGUGCCCUGUCUACAUCUCAUCUACCCAGAAUGAUGCCCGGCCCCCAGAACUUUAUGGCGAGAGCUGUAGGUAAGCUAAAUAACUUGCCCAUUUUCACACACUUGUUCAGCAGCAGAGCCUGGAACAGAGCCCGGGUCACAGGAUCUCAGAGCCAGAUCCCAAGCCCUUAACCACUGUACCAAACAGCCAUCAAUAUAAUAGAUGGUGUAAGAUUUGUUUACAGAGUGGAACAUGGAGAAGGCAGUGCAGG